rnacentral:rRNA from 1 species
AGAGUUUGAUCCUGGCUCAGGAUGAACGCUAGCGACAGGCCUAACACAUGCAAGUCGAGGGGCAUCGGGGUGUAGCAAUACGCUGCCGGCGACCGGCGGAUGGGUGAGUAACGCGUAUGCAACCUGCCUUCAGCAGGGGGAUAGCCCGUUGAAAGACGGAUUAAUACCCCGUAACACAGGGGCUCCGCAUGGAGAUUAUUGUUAAAGGGAUGCUUCCUUCGGGGAGUAUUCUGGCUGAAGAUGGGCAUGCGUUCCAUUAGGUAGUUGGUUGAGGUAACGGCUCACCAAGCCUGCGAUGGAUAGGGGAACUGAGAGGUUGGUCCCCCACACUGGUACUGAGACACGGACCAGACUCCUACGGGAGGCAGCAGUGAGGAAUCUUGGUCAAUGGACGGAAGUCUGAACCAGCCAUGUCGCGUGAAGGAGGACGGCCCUAAGGGUUGUAAACUUCUUUUGCAGGGGAAUAAAGUAUUCCACGAGAUGGGAUAUUGCAAGUACGCUGCGAAUAAGGAUCGGCUAACUCCGUGCCAGCAGCCGCGGUAAUACGGAGGAUCCGAGCGUUAUCCGGAUUUAUUGGGUUUAAAGGGUGCGCAGGCGGGAAGUUAGGUCGGCGGUGAAAUUUCGGGGCUCAACCCCGAGAGUGCCGUUGAAACCGGUUUUCUUGAGUGCGGAUGAGGUAGGCGGAAUUUGUGGUGUAGCGGUGAAAUGCGUAGAUAUCACAAGGAACACCGAUUGCGGAGGCAGCUUACUAAACCGUUACUGACGCUCAUGCACGAAGGCGUGGGGAUCAAACAGGAUUAGAUACCCUGGUAGUCCACGCAGUAAACGAUGAUUACUAGCUGUUUGCGAUACAGUGUAAGCGGCUUAGCGAAAGCGUUAAGUAAUCCACCUGGGGAGUACGUUUGCAAGAAUGAAACUCAAAGGAAUUGACGG